rnacentral:miRNA from 15 species
AAGAUAUGUUUGUGCCAAGCCA